AAAGGGAUUUUGCAAAAUUAGGCCUUGCAGAAUGUUAGAAGUCAUCCAGUCCAACUCAUUCACAGCACUCCCUCCCCUGCAGUCCCAUUUUAAAGACAGGAAACCCCAACCUGUAGUACUCACAGAUUCUGCUGAGAUCCAUCUCCACCCACUAACUGGAAGCAAUCACUUAUUUUGGAGUGUAUGUGUGUGAAUGUGUGUGUGUGUCUGACCAAAAGCACUGACUUCAAGAAUGAAGCCGCAGACCCUCGCGGUGAGUGUUACAGCUCUUAAGGUGGCGCGUCUGGAGUUUCUUCCUUCUGGUGUUCCCGCCCAGUUCGUGGUCUCCCUGGCUCAAGAGUGAAACUGCAGACCUUCGCCAUAUUACAGCACUUAAGGCAGCGCGUCUGGAGUUGUUCGUUCCUCCCGGUAGGCUCGUGGUCUCGAUGGCUUCAGGAGUGAAGCUGCAGACCUUCGCGGUGAGUGUUACAGCUCAUAAAAGCAGCGUGGACCCAAAGAGUGAGCAGUAGCAAGAUUUAUUGCAAAGAGCGAAAGAACAAACCUUACACACCAGAGAAAGGGAACGGAGCGGGCUGAC
rnacentral:lncRNA from 10 species